AAUCUUAUCCCUCUCUUUCACUCUCGCUGACCUUCUUCCUUCAUCCAUGGAGCUCUUCUCUCUGCAAUCCGUCCUCCUCUUCCUCUCCAUCUCCCUCUACCUCUACUUCUCCUUCUUCCGCCCUCCUCCCCACAUCAAGCCCACCAGGACCCCCGGCUUCCGCCUCUACCCCGUCGUCGGGGCCCUCCCGGACUUCCUCAGGAACCGCCACCGCUUCCUCGACUGGAUGUCCGUCGUCCUCCGCUCCGCCCCCACCAACAGCGUCGUCUUCUGGCUCCCCGGCGGCAUCCCCGGCGUCAUCACCGCGAACCCCGCCGUCGUGGAGCACGUGCUCAGGUCCCGCUUCGAGAACUACCCGAAGGGCGACAAUUUCAUCGCCCUCCUCGGCGACUUCCUCGGCAAGGGGAUCUUCAACUCCGACGGCGAGCUCUGGCGGGUCCAGCGCAAGACGGCGAGCUACGAGUUCAACACCCGGUCGCUGCGGCAGUUCGUCAUGCGCAGCGUGACCGUGGAGAUCGAGACCCGGCUGGUCCCGAUCCUGUCCCGGGCGGCGGCCGAGGAGGCGGGUUGCGUCCUGGACCUGCAGGACGUGCUCGAGCGCUUCGCGUUCGACAACAUAUGCAAGCUCGCCUUCAACGUCGACCCCGGGUGCCUGGCCGGCGACGGCACCGGCGAGGGGGAGUUCAUGCGGGCGUUCGAGGACGCCGCGAGGGUCAGCUCCGAGCGGUUCAUGUACGCCUUCCUGUUGCUGUACAGGGUCAAGAGGUGGCUCAACGUGGGGUCGGAGCGGCGGCUGAGGGAGUCGAUCGCGACGGUGCACGAGUUCGCAGAGGAAAUCAUACGGUCGCGGAUGGAAGAGAACAGGGAGGCUCGCGACGAGGAUUUGCUCUCUCGAUUCAUCGGCCACGAAAGUGUCCAUGAGAAUGGCUCCGCCUCGACCGAGUUCCUCCGAGACAUUGUGAUCAGCUUCAUCCUCGCGGGGCGCGACACCACUUCGUCGGCUCUGACCUGGUUCUUCUGGUUGCUCUCGCACAACCCGGAAGUGGAGCGGAAGAUCUUGAGCGAGCUCGAGAAGCUCCGGAAACAGAACGGGAGAAGUUUUGGAGACCCAUACAGUAUCGAGGAACUGAGGGACAUGCACUAUCUGCACGCAGCGAUCUCGGAGGUGAUGCGGUUGUACCCGCCUGUGCCGGUGGACACGAAGGCCUGCCUAGAGGACGACGUCUUGCCGGACGGAACCUUCAUAGGGAAGGACUGGCUCGUCACCUACGACACGCACGCGAUGGGAAGGAUGGAGAGCAUAUGGGGCGAGGACUGCCACGAGUUUGUGCCCGAGAGGUGGAUCGACGAGAGCGGGUUCUGCCGGACGGAGAGCCCGUUCAAGUACCCGGUCUUCCACGCCGGGCCAAGGAUGUGCCUCGGGAAGGACAUGGCGUACAUCCAAAUGAAGUCCAUCGCGGCCUCGGUGUUGGAGAGGUUCGAGAUCGACGUGCCGGGGCGGGAUACGUGCCCCGAGCACCUGCUGUCAUUGACACUGAGGAUGAAGGGUGGACUUCCGGUGAGGGUGAGGAAGAGAUGCGUGGACUGACUCCUCCAUUUAGCUGCGGAUUAGCAAAGAACAUAAUGGAUUCGCAUGUACCCAGCAGAUGCGUGGAUACAUGGAUAGAUCGAUCGAUCAUUUUGGAUCUCUGGAUACAACAAGGCACCGGCUUAGAGAAAUUUCAAAUCGGAGAAUUUGGUAUGAUCAUAAAAUUCAAAGCAUGUGCUCCUUUCUUCGACCCUCUUCAUAUGAAUUAGGUAUGCAGUAUUUAUACAUUUAAGAGUUCAUUGUGAUGAACGAGCUUAAGAAUGGUGUAAAUGUUUUGGGAGACGAUAGAUUGUACCAAUGAGCUUAUACCGAUAAGUGGUUGAAAUUAUUUGGGGCGGCGAAAUUAGGUCGAUUGUGAAAA